rnacentral:lncRNA from 1 species
GUAAGUUAUAGGCCCAAUACAUUAUCACUGCUUGUUGGCUUUGCUUGAAAUGCCCUGCCAAUGCAUUGUUGUUCGGGCCUGUUUUGUGUGCUGUUUGUUCUAUAAAAGACCACGGUAAUGUUGAUUAGAAAGUAUUUACUUAAACAUCACUCGGUAGUGUCAUGAUUAAAUGUAAUUUUAGCUUCCAAAUGAGAGAAUUGGGUUUUCAUAAGGAAAGUGCCCUGCUUAAUCAGUGGCCUGCCCCUGUGAAGAGACUUGGGUUAUAAACAUUGAAACACACCCUUCUCCCUCUCCACUAUAUAAGCCUUUGACGAAAAGGUAACCACUCAGUUCCGGGUACGUGAGGUCUGCAGCCUCUGCGUUAAAAGGACACACAUGUCAAGUACAGAACUAAGCCAACCUCGGCGUGAGCUUUGGUUGCGAAUGGUAUGAACUUUGAACCCUUAUUCACUACAGAAGUGAUACUUCCUAGCCUUUGAGUUAGCAGCGGCCGCUGUAAACGUGGGCUAGGAAAGGACGGACGGCGUAUCCAGUCUAACACACGACGAAGAUACUACAACGUAUCCAUUUUACCACCAGUGACAUUCUUCCGAGGACAGGAAGAUCUCUAUUGGCCAACCCGGCCAGCAUCUAUGACCAACCUACCGACGCGCAGCUCAGAAAUGUCUGUGGGCGGAGCCGGAAGGUCAUCAGCGAAAUGGGACACACUUGGGCUCGGAUGUGUCCUGGGGAUAGUACAGCUUUCCCCCAUUCAUUGAGUAGACUCUCUCCAUGCAGACACACUGUUGGAUUUUGGUUGUGGCAUUUUUGUGGCUGUUUGUUUGCUUUGGCACCUCUCAACACCCCUCAUUAUUACAUCUAUUGACACAUCCACUCACUGACUACUGACUACACACACCAUUGUUACUUGUUUAUAGUUUACUUUAGUUAAUAAAUACAUUUUUGUUAUUCCUUUAUCUCCGCGUUGUCUCCCUUUUUGCUACGGGAUGGUUCGUGACAGGA